rnacentral:lncRNA from 1 species
CCACACGCUCUCCCUUUCUCUCUCUCUCCUUCUCUCUCUCUCUCGUCCGUCUGUUCUCUGCUCUCUCAUUCGCUCCGCCGGCUCGACGCCGGCUGUCAGUUCAUUUGCCGCGGCAGAGCAACAACUGGCUUCUUCAGCGCUGGGAGCGAAGAGGGGAAGGGGUGAGCGGAGGGAAGAGUGGAAGAAGAAAAAGUGGUAGAGGACGAGCAGCAAAGGAGUGGAGAAAGAGAGGAGGAGAAGAUCUUUUGUUAAACAUCCCUCUGCAGCAGCAUCAGCACCAGCGCCGCUCCCGCUGCUGGAUCCUCCGUCUCCUGCCGGGAUCUGCCUCCUCCUUCUCUUCAGGGAGCUCUUCCUGGAACUGGGAGGGGGAGGGAGACCAGCACCUCCCAGCUUGCUGCGGACCCUCGGCAAGGCAUCAGGAGGAAGGAAGGAGUGAAGGGGAGGGAAUUUUAGAGGAGGCCGUGAGGAGAGCGGAGGAGAGGCAACACCCUGGGUUACAGGAGCAGAGAAGAAGAAGAGAGGCCUGCUCAGGGCUGUUGAUUCUUCGUUCGUUCGUCCGUCCUGCUCCAGCCUCUCUGCACAGUUUUUCCUCCAGAAUAAUGAGUGUGAAGACUCACUCAGUCUUUUGA